rnacentral:rRNA from 1 species
UAAGCAGAUAGUGAAAUCAUGCGGCUCAACCGCAUGCCCGCUAUCUGAACUGCUAAGCUUGAGCACGAGAGAGGUAACUGGAAUUCCCGGUGUAGGAGUGAAAUCCGUAGAUAUCGGGAGGAACACCGAUGGCGUAGGCAGGUUACUGGCUCGUUGCUGACACUAAGGCACGAAAGCGUGGGGAGCGAACGGGAUUAGAUACCCCGGUAGUCCACGCCGUAAACGAUGGAUGCUA